rnacentral:rRNA from 1 species
GACGAACGCUGGCGGCGUGGAUUAGGCAUGCAAGUCGAACGGUAUCAUCCUUUCGGGGGUGAGAGAGUGGCGAACUGGUGAGUAACACGUAGGUUAUCUACCCUCAAGACGGGGACAACCCAGGGAAACUUGGGCUAAUACCGGAUGUGAGCAACUUUUUAGUUGUUUGAAAGGUGGCGUAAGCUGUCGCUUGGGGAUGAGCCUGCGUCCUAUUAGUUAGUUGGUGAGGUAACGGCUCACCUAGGCAAUGAUAGGUAGGCGGCCUUAACGGGUGGUCGCCCACACUGGGAUUGAGAUACGGCCCAGACUCCUACGGGAGGCAGCAGUCGAGAAUAGUCUACAAUGGUCGGAAGACUGAUAGUGCGACGCCGCGUGAACGAUGAAUCCCUUCGGGGUGUAAAGUUCUUUUAUAUGUGAGCAGUGCUUCUUAUAUUAACAGUAUGGGAGAGAGAUAUUAGCAUAUGAUAAGACAACGACGUAACUACCGUACGUCCACGCACGACCGCCGGUACGU